rnacentral:rRNA from 1 species
GACGAACGCUGGCGGCGUGCUUAACACAUGCAAGUCGAACGGAAAGGCCCUGCUUUUGUGGGGUGCUCGAGUGGCGCACGGGUGAGUAACACGUGAGUAACCUGCCCUUGACUUUGGGAUAACUUCAGGAAACUGGGGCUAAUACCGGAUAGGAGCUCCUGCUGCAUGGUGGGGGUUGGACAGUUUCGGCGGUUGGGGAUGGACUCGCGGCUUAUCAGCUUGUUGGUGGGGUAGUGGCUUACCAAGGCUUUGACGGGUAGCCGGCCUGAGAGGGUGACCGGCCACAUUGGGACUGAGAGACGGCCCAGACUCCUACGGGAGGCAGCAGUGGGGAAUAUUGCACAAUGGGCGGAAGCCUGAUGCAGCAACGCCGCGUGCGGGAUGACGGCCUUCGGGUUGUAAACCGCUUUCGCCUGUGACGAAGCGUGAGUGACGGUAAUGGGUAAAGAAGCACCGGCUAACUACGUG